rnacentral:lncRNA from 1 species
UGCCGCCCCUGGCCUGCCAGGACCCAGAGGGAGCGGAGCACGCGCCUUUGGGAAUCUUCGGUGCGCCAAGUCUGUUCGCCGCCGGGGUCUAUCACCCCCGCCCCUCGCCUCUGCCCGUGAGCGUGUGAGUUGUAGCGUACCCUGGGGUCUGUUCUGGAGGAGGCCUGAGAGCGGGGUUGCCUGGGGCGUGGGUCUCUCAUCCCUCUCGUCCUGGUGAAGAAGAAGAGUAUACCCAGCGGAAUGGCCUGUCCAGAAGACAGCCAAAUACAUCCUUCAAACAGACUUCACUGCAGGAGACAGAGUGGAUUCAUCCUGUAUUCUCCAUGUAGACUUCCAUCUUCAUGAGUACUCCAAGAAGAUGGUUCAGUUGACUAUUGCAAAGUCUCAGGUAUGUCUUUAUCAGCAGCAUGAAAAUGGACUAAUAGUACCAGUAGAGUGGGGCAUUGCUGAAAAGAUACCCGAAAAUGUGGAAGCAACUUUGGAACUGGGUGUUGAAAUAAUCUGGAGGGCUCAGAAGAAGAUAGGAAAAUGUAGGAAAGUUUGGAACCUCCUAGAGACUGUGAAUGGCAUUGACAAAAAUACUGAUAGUGAUAUGAACAAUAAGGUCCAGGCUGAGGUGGUCUCAGAUGGAGAUGAAGACCUUGUUGGGAACUGAAGUAAAGGUGACCCUUGUUAUGUUUUAGCAAGGAGACUGGCAGCAUUUCACCCUUGCCCUAGAGAUUUGUGGAACUUAGAGCUUGAGAGAGAUGACUUAGGGUAUCUGGUGGAAUAAAUUUCUAAGCAGCAAAGCAUUCAAAAGGUGACUUGGGUGCUGUUAAAAACAUUCUGUUUUAAAAGGGAAACAAGAGCAUAAAUGUGGAAAAUCUGCAGCCUGAUGAUGCAGUAGAAAAGAAAAACCCAUUUUUUUUAAGGAGAAAUUCAAGCUGGCUGCAGAAAUUUGCAUAAGCAGCAAGGAGCCUAAUGUUAAUCCCCAAGACCAUGGGGAAAAUGUCUCCAGGUCAUGUCAGAGACCUUCAUGGCAGCCCCUCCCAUCACAGGCCCAGAGGCCCAGGAGGAAAAAGUGGUUUUGUGGGCUGGGCCCAGGGUCUCUGUGCUGUGUGCAGCCUAGGGACUUGGUGCCCUGUGUCCCAGCUGCUCCAGCCAUGGCUGAAAGGAGCCAACAUAGAGCUUGGGCUGUGGCUUCAGAGGGUAGAGGCCCCAAGCAUUGGCAGCUUCCAUGUGAUGUUGAGCCUGUGGGUGCAGAGAUGUCAAGAAUUGAGAUUUGGGAACCUCUGCCUAGAUUUCAGAAUAUAUAUGGAAACACCUGGAUGUCCAGGCAAAAGUUUGCUGCAGGGGCAGAGCCCUCAUGGGGAACCUCUCCUAGGGCAGUGUGGAAGGGAAAUGUGGGGCAGAGCCCCCACACAGAGUCCCUGUUGGGGCACUGCCUAGUGGAGCUGUGAGAAGAAGGCCACAGUCCCAGAACGGUAGACCCCAGAAUGGUAGACCCCAGAAUGGUAGAUCAACCACCAACUUGCAUCUUGUGCCUGGAAAAGCUACAGACACUCAACAUCAGCCUGAGAAAGCAGCCAGGAGGGAGGCUGUACUCUGCAAAGCCACAGGGGCGGAGCUGCACAAGACCAUGGGAACCUAUCUCUUGCAUCAGCAUGACCUGAAUGUGAGACAUGGAGUCAAAGGAGAUCAUUAUGGAGCUUUAAAAUUUGACUGCCCCACUGGAUUUCAGACUUGCAUGGACCCUGUAACCCCUUUGUUUUGGCCAAUUUCUCUCAUUUGGAACAGCUGUAUUUACCCAAUACCUGUACCCCCCAUUGUAUCUAGGAGGUAACUAGCUUGCUUUUACAGGCUUGUAAGUGGAAGGGACUUGCCUUGUCUCAGAUGAGACUUUGGACUGUGGACUUUUGGGUUAAUGCUGAAAUGAGUUAAGACUUUGGGGAACUGUUGGGAAGGAAUGAUUGGUUUUGAAAUGUGAGGAUUAUGAAAUUUGGAGGAGCCCAGGGAGGAAUGAUAUGGUUUGGCUGUGUCCCCACCCAAAUCUCAACUUGAAUUGUAUCUCCCAGAAUUCCCACAUGUUGUGGGAGGGACGCAGUGGGAGGUAAUUGAAUCAUGGAGGCCAGUCUUUUCUGUGCUAUUCUCGUGAUAAUAAGUCCCACAAGAUCUGGUGGGUUUAUGAAGAGUUUCUGCUUUUGCUUCUUCCUCAUUUUGCUCUUGAUGCCACCACGUAAGAAGUACCUUUUGCCUCCCACCUGAUUUUGAGGCCUCCCCAGCCAUGUGGAACUGUAAGUCCAAUUAAACCCUUUUUGUUUCCAGUCUCAGAUAUGUCUUUAUCAGCAGCAUGGAAACGAACUAAUACAAUCAUAGUUUUUAAAAACCAAUCUAAAUGUAACUAUUGAACAUGAUUAGCUGUUUCAUCCCUAGUAGAGUGACAGAAGGAAACAUCCAUAGACAGGAGUAAUAAGAAACCAGCUAAACUUCUAAACCAUUUUUAAAGGAUGCGUGUGAGCUGGCAUAACCUACCUACUCUUUCCUAUGGGCCUCUACUGAGAGCAUGGAGGUAAUACAUCUAAUACACUGAAGACCAGGGCAAGAGAGCUGGAAGAAAUCCCUCUUAAGCACUCCAGGCCUUCACUGAGUAUGAGGUGCUGGUCUCCAAAGGCAGAGGGCAAGGCAAGGCAGAGAGGGAUCUCCUGGGGCACAGACAACUGACAAAAGAAACACUUGGAUUGUUGUAUAAGAGGAGUGAGCUUUGUAAAUACCACGUUAGCUGGCCUGCUGUGGAACAGAAUGCCUGUGAAUGACAGUAGUCAGGUAGUGGAUGAACACUGAUCUGAGAGCCUGUAAAAGAAACUCUUUGGAAUGAUAAUGUCAUCUAGACCUUUGAUACGCAAAGUGUGAUUCCUGGACAGAUGUAUUGGCUUUACCUGGCAGCUUGUUGGAAAUGUAAAACCUCAGGCCUCACCCCAGACC